UUGCCCUUGCUUGCCCACAGCAAAGAUGGUUCUGGUCACUUCCUUUCCAACAGCCUUUUCCCAUAACAAAUAUGGCGCUUCUGCUUCCGGAUUCUGGGCUGCUGUUGCGCGGCGGACUAUGGCAACAGAGGAAGCCACUCCAGGCAGCCAGUCAGAGGAGAGCAAUGCUCUGGACCUGCCAUCUGCUUUUGACUUGAGGGAUUAUGUGCUGCAGAGACCCAACCAGGAGGUCAACAGUGAGGCUUUUAGUUCUGUGGAAGCCCCUUCAUUUCCCUGCUCUUCUGAUGUGGAUCCAGACACCAGUAACCUAAAUACUGAACAAAAUGAUUCCUGGACCUCAGAGAACUUCUGGCUUGACCCUUCCGUGAAAGGCCACCCAGAGACCAAGACAGAGGAUGAUGGACUUCGGAAAUCCCUGGACAGAUUCUAUGAAAUGUAUGGCCACCCACAGCCAGCCUCUGGAAAUCCACUCUGUGCAUCUGUCUACCAGUGCCUAUCUCAGAAAAUCAAUGAACUAGAGGGCCAGGAGAGCCAGAAGUACGCCCUCCGCAGUUUUCAAAUGGCCCGAGUUGUCUUCAACCGAGAUGGCUGUUCAGUCUUACAGAGGCAUUCCAGGGAUGCCCAUUUCUACCCACCGGAAGAAGGAAGUGUGUCUCUGGAUGAUGAAAAGCCAACCCCAGGACUUUCAAAAGAUAUUAUUCAUUUCCUCUUGCAACAGAAUGUGAUGAAAGACCUAUAAUUGGUGCCUGGUGGUGACAUCAGGCAACAUGGAGGAUAGCCCUGUGGCCACUGGUGUUAGCGUACCGCCCAGGUCCCCUUGGGUCUCGCUUGCUGGCUCUGUGGUACUGGAGCCAGUUCAGCCCACCUGGGGAGCCUGCACUGUCCGGACGUCUUACAGCUCCCAUGGCUACCACCUCCCAUCCCAUCCUACCAUUCAUUUUGACUUAAGGUCAGUGACUGACCGUCUUGGGAAUCCAAAGCCCCAGCUUUCUUGCCUCAAGACAGGACGUUCUGUGAGGCAUAAUUUACUGUGCGGCGCUCCCCUCCGGUCAGGCUAAGGCUGGGACUUCACACUCCAUCACGCCUUGCUCACUCCUUCCCUUUCCCUGCACCUCUUCUCCCAUUCACUUACUGGGGCUCCCAGAAGCCUUUCCUCAAUGAAUCUCUUGUCCCUGAAUCCUUGACUCAGAGUCUGCUUCUGGGAGAACCCAACCUAAGAGAACAGGCAUCCAUUAGGUGAGUUUUCCGAAGGGCACAAAGCCCUGUGUUCAAUCAAGCAUGACAAUCAUACGAAAUUGUAAAACUGAGACCACGUGAUUGAGAAUGCAUGUCCCAAAAUGAUAAAAAGAUUUAAAUGCAGUUCCGAAAACCAUAUCACAUCUUAAUCAUACCCUUGUCUUUCCAAAGUUCUGACUUUCACUGUGGGGUGAGGAGGGAACACUUACACCAUCUAAAAAACAGCAAAGAUUUGCAAAAAAAAAAGUCUCUACCAGAUUGCAAAUGUGAAAGGCAUAGAGAAAACAAAUGUGCACCACCUAGCAAUUGAGUGUAAGCUCAAUUAUGACACCUUAGGCUGACCCAAUGCUGCCUCGCCAAUUCGUAGUGGAAGAGAAAAAGGAAUCCUUUGCCCAAGUUGCCUUUUUCCUUUCGCUGUUUUUGCCUGCUGCCUGCCUGCUGUCCCAUCCUUGCUUUGCCAGGUAGCGGCUGUAAAUAGCCAGGGCAGGCUUGAGCUGGCAGGUGCUCUGCUCGGCAGCCACGUCCUGAACCCCAGUUUGAGAGUUGGUUGGGAGAAUGACAUCACCUGGCACCAUGCUCUCUGAAGCUGUUAUUGGAGGCCUCACACGCAUCCCUCCCUCAACAGUCCUUCAAACCAAUUUCGUUGACAGGAAGGAUUAUAGCAUUUUGUAGGGAACAACAAGAGAAGCUGGCAACACUGGGCAAUUCGAUUUUGAGAAGCUGUAGGUGAAACGUAAUUGGCAGAAUUGUCCAUAAGCUUUCUGGAAAGCUGGUUUUACAAAUAGAUGAGCCUAACGUCAUACAUGAAGUGUGAGGGUGCCCUCUCAGGCAGGGCUCCUGGGGACUGCUGGCUGGCGAGGGAAUUACAUAAUAAGGCUUCCAGUUCUGGGAAAAUCAGUGGUAAGAAAUAGCAUCGCACAUUGAAGUGCAGAGCUGCGUGGAGGCCUAACUGGUAGGAAAUAGAAAAUGAAUAGGUCUUUGAGAGAUACUUGAGGAAACUAGAUUCUAGAUUUUUCUCCAACAAGCAAUCAUCUGCAUCUUUCUCCAUGGGCUUCUCUUAUUCAACUGGCCCCCAAAUAAUCGUGAAAACAGUGGGUCUUAUAAUUGAAAAUUUAGAUUGAAUUUUAAGGGCACUAGUUUUAUUGGUUUUUAAUGUGAAGCAAAUUAAUAGACACCAUGAAGAAUGCAGUAGGUUUUAGUAGUAUUUAGUCACUGAAAGAUUGGAAAUUGGUUUCCAUGGCUACCAACAGAAGGAAGCUGGAUUAUUUUAUGCCGUUUGUAAAGGACAAAAGAUACAAACUACUUGAAUCUCCCUGCGAAGCAGCAGCUUUUAUUUGGCAAUGAUAUUGUAGUAUCAUUAAUUUUGUGGCCUUUAUUAAUAUCAUUUCUGGGGCUGCUCAGCAAGAGGUAGACUCUGAAACCACAGAAUUUAGAAGUCUAAAAGCCAGAAUCACCCAGGGUAAAAAAAGGAGUAUGAUGUGUGCUUGCUUGUAUCUGAGUAAGUGCUUGUGACAGGUCAGUACAAGAUAUUUGAUUCCCUGCAAUCUCACUCCUUAAUUUGAUCUUCAUAAGGUUAGGAUGGCAUUUUCCAUUUAUCUCUGCUUACCUUUAAUAAAGACUAAGAGAUAACAAUAUUGAGGCUCUGGCCUUUGACAUUAUGGUCUAAUUCUGCCCUAUAGAACCCUUCACCAACAUCUUAUCAUCCCGUGAAAGUUCUGACUGGUCUAUGAUAUUGGCUGUGCCCUUUUCAGAGGUCUCUGUGAGGAUGGAUUUGCUUACAGGACCGUCAGAACACUAAAGAGAGCUGCUACCAGUAUUUUAAGUUUGUGAGCUCUCCGCCCACGUUACAGGGUCUCUGCGAUCUAGUGCUCAUUCAUCCCUGCCUGGUAACAUGCAGCCACUCCGAAUCUGACUGCAGCCCUGGAAGUACUGAACAAAUCUCACUGACUGGCUCCCACUUCCUUCCAUUCAACAAUCGUUCUGUUGAAUAAUUGGGAAUGUCACAGUCUACAGAUAAUGCACUUUCGCCAGGUCCUCAUCAGCUUUGAUAUUUGGAGAGAUUUACAAUGUACUAAACAUGGUAAGUUUUGGGUGUGUAAGAACUACAACCCUGAAUGGGUAUAGUACUUCUCAUCUCUGGGGAAAGAGGUCAGGUUCCUUCAGGACUAUGGAUGGCAUAUACCUAAACUGCCUGUCAGCUGUGGUCAGCCAGCUGUGAGGUGGCAACUUGGCAACAUCUGUGAGAAAGGGUAGGACCUUGGUGAAAGCAGAAACACUUACUCGGUUGUUGUCUGAUAUAUAAAAUCCUACAGAUUUACUGAAUGAGUUGAAAGACCACCUAAGACUUGCCAUGCCAUCUAAUUAAUAUUAAUAAAGGAAUAUCUGGAAAUCUGAUGCUUUGCUGGUUUUCAUCACUUACUUUAAAGAAGUUUUUUUCAACCUGAGUAUCAGCCUUUAGCAGGGACUGAAUAUCCCAGAAUCAGUUGGCUCUACCAGAAAAGACCUUAAUAAAUCACCUGGGCAAUUCUUCUGCCUUCAGGCAACACCACUCUUAAAGCAUUCCUGACAGGACACUGUUUACCUAUGGUCUGAAAACUCUCCCAAAAGAGAGGUAAGAAAAAUGCCACAGCCUGUUUAUUCUCAGUGUCUCUCCUUAAUAAACUCUGGGCUUAUCCUUGCUUGAAUUUCAGCUUUAAGUUUUUAACAGAUUAUGCAUUAUGACCUCCGAAAUUUCAAAGAUUUAUUCUGCAGAAUGUCUCAAGUGACCUAUUACUAUCAUAAGCAAGAUGAUAGUGUGCAAUUAUAUGAAGUCAAAGUAGUAUUGGGGGUAAUUUAGUCUUUUAGGGAAUCAGUUAAGAUCAUAUGUAGGACUUGCUUUAAAAUGCAACAAUUAAGAUGGAGUGAUGAAUGGAUAGAUGGUGGAUAGGUGGAUAGACAUGAGGUAAACAAGUAAAGUAAAUAUUAAUGGUAAUGUCCAAGUGGUGGGUUUGAAGGUCUUAUUUGUUGAUUUUUAUCAAGUUUUCUGUAUGUUGGAUAUUUUUCAUAGUAAAAUAUUGGGAAAAUAUAUGCAAGAUAUGUUUUAAAUAUUUAAAUGUAUACCCACAGACAUUUUUUUUGUAACUUGGAGUUUAAAUUACCACAAACUUUCCUGAAGACAAUCUCUUUUCCUCAUAGAACACAUACUUGAAUAUGAAGGAUAACUUUAUUGGCUCUUGAGUGGUAGAACUAAUUAAACAAUUAAUAGGUCAUUGAUGAGUACCUCCUAAUUGCUCUGGGAGAUACCGUCACCACUUUCAAAGAACUUAAUUCAUGUUGGGAAAAUUCUUUCUAUAUUGAUCCAUCUAGAUUUCAAACUUGUCUUCUAUACCUAAUCUAUGUCAUCAGCACCUAUGUUUUAUUGCCCAGAUCAUAAAACUUACAUUUCUACCACCAACAUUAUCUAUAUCAAAUUUCAUCUACAUCUAAGUUUAGAGCAAUAUAAUUUGUAUCUACUCUUAGACCACCUUCUACAUCUGUAUUGACAUACACUCUACCCACAUCUGUGUUUACAUCUAUAUCAGUAUGUCCCUCAACAUUUACAGCUACAUUGUCUACUUCAGUGGUCCUCAACUGGGCCAGCUUUUUACCCAAGGGUAUUUGGCAACAUCCAGAAACACUUCUGACUGUUGCAGCUCUGGAUCAGGGAAGGGAGGGCCCCUGGAAUCUUGUGAGUAGAGGCCAUAGGUGCUGUGUAACAUCCUAUAAUACCCAGGGCAGUCCCUGACAACAAAGAGUUAUUCAGCCCAAAAUGUCAAUAGAGCUGAGGUUGAGAAAUCCUAAUCUACAUCAUGCCCAUCAACUACAUCCAUGUUUACAGCUAUGCCAAUCACACAUGCAUCCAUGUUGACAUCUACCCUAUCUGCGCCUGUGUUUAUGUCUACAUCAUGUAUAUCUGCAUUGACAUCUAGGUCAUUGCAGCUACACUGACAACCUCUAUAAUUUCUGCAUUAACUACAUCAUCUAUUUUAACAUCUACAUCUAUGUGAUUUACAUCUUUCACAUCCACAUCUACCUAUAUAUCUAAUUGGCAGCUGUGGGUAAAAUCGUAAUAUUUCCAGAAUAUCUCACCUGGCUUUUGUACAUCUGCAUAUCAAUAGGCAUUCAGAGGUGGAAAGAAGUUUGGCUUUAGUUCAUUUGCAUACAGGGAUUGAGAGAAGUUCUUCUCCAUAUUAGUGGGUAAUUACCUGGGCAACAGGGGGCUUA